CUGCCAGCAAUCUGUGCCAUUAUUCCUGCUUUUUAUCAAUUUAAAUUUUUCUUAGCUGAUUACGUAGCAAGUGAUGAGCCAAACACCCCAGGGCCUGAUCAUUAGGCAAAAAUACUCACCUGAAAUCAAAGGGAGUUUCAGCCUAAAGGGUGGGACUGUCUGUCAUGAAUAUUGAAAAACAUCAAAAUGGAUCACGCCAUCAUGUAUGCGUAAUCAGAAGAGCCAAAUGUGUUUUAACCUUUUUAGUGGAAAUAAUAUUUAAAAAGAAAUACUGGAAGGGUGGGAACACAUCUGAGGAAGGAGUCUGCAAGUAAAAUUUAGCUCAUAUGACUGGUUUGGUACAUUAACAGGGGAUUAUUUCUAGGACUGGCGCUGGCAGAAUUUAAUCUUUCCUUCGCAGAUCUUCUCAGAUUAAUUUGAAUUUUCUCACAUUUAAAAAAAUCAAGUAUUCACCUAACUUUUUUCAUUUUUUCUCUGCUCACCACCCAUUUUCCUCCAUCUUCACUGAAACUAAACUCUAGUCGACCCAUAACUAAUACACGAAAGACUGUAACUCUCAGUAGCUGCAAAAAAUACUUUAUAACACUUCAGCCUGUCAAAGCACAAACUGUUCUCCUCCUCCUCCAGCUAUUCAGUGAAUAUCACUGUAUUUCAUUGCUAUCUCCUCUAAAAAGUGUCAAAGGAAGUUAAGUACACAGGACAAAUCCAGGCUUCUAGGAGGACUCCCACAUACUUUGAACUGAACCCUAAUUUUAGUGCCUAUUUCAGUUAAUUUCAGUUAAUUAUACAGCCAGUUAGGUCAGUGCCUGCCUCCCCAGCAGUGAUCUGCAGGAGAUCUGUGCAGAACUGACACCAGCUCCUGAAUGCCAGCUCCCGGGUUAGAGCCACUUUUCAGAAACUUCUCUGUGGAGAGCAAGGUCUCAGGAAGCAGGUGCCUCCCAGGAAGGAGGAAAAGGAGUCAGCGCACAAACCUCAGAAGGACCUGCAGACAGAAGUCUUAAGGAGGAUAGAAAUGGAAAUGGACAUACAACUGUAGGGAAAAAUCAUGCUGGAGCUACAAGAAUCUCAUUGCAAGACUCAGACAAUGUAAUUCAUGUAAAUCUGAGGUUACCUGAAAUCUUGAGAAGACAUAAUACAUGAGAAACAGUAGCCAAGGGUGAGGGAGGAGCAGCAGGGUGUGAAUAAGAAGGGUGUCUAAAUUUACCCAGAUCUGUACAGCUUUUAUGUUGCUUUUAAGAAAACAAAAAAUCAUCACAGGACUUUUUCAAGUUUUACAGAUGACCCCUUUAAAGAUGGAGAAUGCCACAACAAAGAGAGGAGGAGGUGCAAUGCAGCACAGAAAAUGAAAUAGCCACCAAGCAUGUCCUCUGUUUCCAGCAGCAGAUGUUUAUGGGAGAGUACAAAGCUGAGGCUGUGUAAUAUUAUUCAUUUCCUUGUUUGGCCUCAGUAAUCAUCUCUUCAGGGGCUUCCUGAGGUGGAUGUGCAGCAUGGGCAUUCGUGUCCUCCUGCGCCAGCCUUCCGGCAUGGAUGUGGCCAGUGCCUCCUGGAACCUCUUGGAAUUUCACCCUCCUCACAGUGCCAUGGCAAGAAACUCUGCAGAGUUUCUCCAUGCUGCCCAAUAAAACAGGGAGCCAUUCUUUCCCCCAGCCUGUAAUAUCACUUUUUGUGCCCUGUCACUUUGUUGUAACACUUGGUCACCAAUGGUUAACUGCUGUCUCUGUCUCCCCAUCUAUGAAUUUGGAGACAUCUCCCACAUCUCUCCCCUCAAUCAGAUCAUCUUGAUAUACCUUACUUAUGGUAAAUUCUUUCCUUUCUCUGUAAACUAAGAUGAUGUUCCCAAGAAUGAACAGGUAAAAUCAAUACCCAAAGAUAUUUCUGGUUUCAAGAAAGCAUCCAUGUGAGCUGGGUUAAAAAUCACCUAUGAGGAAUCAUAGCACAUACAUUUCAAAAUCCCAAAUCACCCAAUCUUUGUGAUUAUGGAGAGACCUAUAAGACAUACACUCUUAAAAAAAUAGAUAAUGAUUUUAAAAUUAGGUGUUUCAAAAUAAUCCGCUGGCUGCUGAACAUGCAUGACUUUUUCACUGUUUGGAGCAUUGUUGUUAAUUUAUGUAAAGAAGGCAGAUAAAUCAAAUAAUGGGAAGCCCACUCCUUCCUCAAACUUUACGGCUGAUCCAGCGCCCCAGCCCUGUUUUCAUUCAACUAUGUAAAUAUUCAUCUAAACUAUUGACCGGAUGCAGAGUGGAAAAAAAUAACUUGAAAUAAACAGGCUUCUCUAUUUAUACACAUUCUGUUGUGCUUGUGCUGGGGCUGACCAAGAAGUUGUGUGUUUCUGGAAAUGAAAUCAUUCUGCGCAGAAAUGAAGAUUACAAUGAAGGAAAAAGACAAUCCAGUGUUGUCAGUGGACAAAACCACAUCUCAGUGAGUUUGCCUGUCCUCAGGGGCUAUGGUGACAUAUAAUACUUUCUCUGUUGUGGCCAUUUUAAUUAUUUGUUUUGGUUGAGCACAUGGGUGCUCUGAUGAAGGACAUAGGCAUUUCAGAGUCAGUAGCACACCUGGUAUCUGUGGCCUUUAUGUCAGUGGAAGUCAGCUACCUGAGUCACACUAAUGGGGGGAGACCAGUUCUCAGGUGCUUUUUUACAACUGUUUGGUUUAGCUCUCCAUAAAAAUAGAGAGGAGCAAUGGAAACAAAGUUUCAUUCACUGUUAUCUAGACUUUUAUCAGCAUUGUACAAUUUUUUAAUCACAGUUUAUCAUUUCAGAGCAACAAGAAAACACUGAGCAGAAGGCUUAUUGCCCACUAAACCUUAUCUCAAACAGAAAGUCCUGGCAAGGCACAAAUCAUCCAAGAAGGUGCAUGAGCAGAUUCUCAGACUGAGAAAAGAGAAUAGCUUUGCCCUCUUGGAUUGCAGACUGCAAAGCAGAGGAAAAAAUAUAUCAUGUGAUUCUGAGCAUGGGAAAUAUGAGGCAACACACACACACAGAAGUAAGUAAGGUGUUACUCUCUAUACGGAUAUUUUUAGCACUGUGGAUUGGUUAAGAGAGACAAGAAAAAAGAUGCCCAAAUUCCUUUAGAGGUCAGCUGAUUCAGGACCAAGCUCUAGGGACCUCUCAAGAAAAGUAAGGAAAACAUCCCCAAACAGAGAAAAUUCAGUGAAACCCAGCCUUGGACACAGGCUAAAUAACAGCACUGCCUGAAGAUAAGAAGGUAUUGGGUAGAAAUAAGAAAGGCCAUAACUCCUAGGGCUUUAUUUCCACAGGGUCCCAAACUUUGAAGUGUACUUAGACUAAACCUUAGAUGGCUCUCAGAUGGUUUCUUUCAAGGAAGAGCACAUUUUAAAGGAGAAUGGGGAAACAUAAACAGGUUGGAUGUCACAUGUAAAUAACAACAAGUGGCGGUCCUGACGGAACGGUUGCGGAUUUCAAGGAGACGUGGGCUCAUGCAGGAUGUGGCAACCCCAGCGAAAGGGAGGAGGAAAAACCAGAGCUGUGCACCAGGCAGUGAUGGGAAUGGAAACAUCUCUCUGUUCCUUCCAAAUGUGAUCUCCAGACCAGCCUUGCUUCACGCUGCUCCUUCAGGCAGCAGUACUUUGGAAAGCAUUUCACAGCUCCAACUGUUUUCUCUAUGCUCAGGAGAGAUUCCUGCUCUCAGCUGUGUAAAUGUUUUAACUGAGAUUCAUGCUCGGCUAUUCAGGUCACUGCUUUCUCUUCCGGCCCACACAGACCAAAAUGCAUCUAUAUAAGCACAAAGUGUCCAAAAUCAACAGAGUAUUUUUCAUUUGAACACACCCAUGGCACGUGGCUCCCUCCAAGUCCAGGAUACAAUGCCAAGCAGUGGAUUUGUACGUUUGCCUGACGUGAACUUAGCAUGAUUUAUAAAAAAACAGGCAAUAGGCCGGUUGUGUGCCCGAGCAAAUCUGGCUUGGCAGAAACUAUCAUUCCAAGGAAGGAACUCAAGGAAAUCAAACUCUCCCUCUGGUCUUGAGAAGGGACUUAUCUAAUGUAGGAAGUGUUCUCAAAAUAUUUAAUUUGUAUUAAGAAUUACAAUGUAUUUCUUUCUGAAUUCAAGUAACUAUCUCCUUUGUUGAAAGAA